GCUCCCGUGGCGGAAUCUGGUAUACGCGUACGCUUUAGGAGCGUAUCCCGCAAGGGUUAGAGGUUCAACUCCUCUCGGGAGCA
rfam:Spirochaetes bacterium GWB1_59_5 gwb1_scaffold_14877, whole genome shotgun sequence.